rnacentral:rRNA from 1 species
CCAGACUCCUACGGGAGGCAGCAGUGAGGAAUAUUGGUCAAUGGGCGGGGGCCUGAACCAGCCAAGCCGCGUGAGGGAAGAAGGUACAGCGUAUCGUAAACCUCUUUUGUCAGGGAACAAAGGCGGGGACUAGUCCCCGGAUGAGGGUACCUGAAGAAAAAGCAUCGGCUAACUCCGUGCCAGCAGCCGCGGUAAUACGGAGGAUGCGAGCGUUAUCCGGAUUUAUUGGGUUUAAAGGGUGCGCAGGCGGCCUGUUAAGUCGGGGGUAAAAGCCCGGGGCUCAACCCCGGCGAGCCGUUGAAACUGGCGGCCUCGAGUGGGCGAGAAGUAUGCGGAAUGCGUGGUGUAGCGGUGAAAUGCAUAGAUAUCACGCAGAACUCCGAUUGCGAAGGCAGCAUACCGGCGCCCGACUGACGCUGAGGCACGAAAGCGUGGGUAUCGAACAGGAUUAGAUACCCCCGUAACC